rnacentral:rRNA from 1 species
UACGAAGGGAGCUAGCGUUGUUCGGAAUCACUGGGCGUAAAGCGCACGUAGGCGGAUUUGCCAGUCAGGGGUGAAAUCCCGGGGCUCAACCUCGGAACUGCCUUUGAUACAGCAAGUCUUGAGUUCGAGAGAGGUGGGUGGAACUGCGAGUGUAGAGGUGAAAAUUCUAGAUAUUCGCAAGAACACCAGUGGCGAAGGCGGCCAACUGGUCCGGUACUGACGCUG